GUUUAACUCAAUCAGCACUACCUAAUGAUUCGUCAAUACCGGAUGAGACACCUGUGGACUCUCACAUCGAUUUAACUACUAACAACAAUGAGAUUGAGGGAGAAUCGAAUGGUCCGAGUGAACCAAGUUUUGGUUCAAAAAGAUUAAAAUCUGUGGUAUGGGAGCAUUUUACCAAAAAGGUAGUUAACGGUUGUUUGUAUUUUUAAAAUU